rnacentral:misc_RNA from 1 species
GUGAAUCAUCGAAUUUUUGAACGCAAAUUGCGCCUUUUGCGAAAGGCAUGUCUGUUUGAGUGCACCAUUUAACAAAUAAUGUGCAUUUUGUGUGCACAGGUUUAUGAGCUUUCCAAAAUUAUGUAUUAUUUUUGGUGGCGCAUAAUAAACAGCGGUAUGCUUUUUUUCAGUUCUGGUGUAGUAGAUUUUUUUCUUGUUUGGGUUGUUAAAAGCGUGUACUCACAAAUGGG